GGAGUUUGGUCCGUGUCUCAGUACCAAUGUGGGGGACCUUCCUCUCAGAACCCCUACUGAUCGUCGCCUUGGUGGGCCGUUACCCCGCCAACUGGCUAAUCAGACGCAUCCCCAUCCCUUACCGAUGAAUCUUUACUCCUCGUUAGAUGUCCGCGAAGGAGACCAUCAGGUAUUAAUUCGCCUUUCGGCGGGCUAUCCCUGAGUGAUGGGAAGGUUGGAUACGCGUUACUCACCCGUGCGCCGGUCGCCAUCUAUCAAAGCAAGCUUCGAUAAUGCUGCCCCUCGACUUGCAUGUGUUAAGCCUGUAGCUAGCGUUCAUC
rnacentral:rRNA from 1 species